AUGGAGGUGAAGCAGCUGGUACACUCCACCAGCUGUGUGAGAGUCGUGGCAACACGACCAUCACUCAAGGUAUAUAAGGCAGUUACACUAAGAGCGUCUCAGCAGUGUGCGUGCUAUAUUUCUUCAGGCGCUACUACCACCACCACCACCACCAUGAAGGUCGUCGUCUGCGUGCUGGUAGUCGUGGCCACCGUCUCACAAGUCGUCAACAGAGCUUCUUGCGCCCCCAUCCCUCAAGCUGGGCGGCAAGCAGACAAUCCUCGCCUCCUCUUCCCUACAAACAUUAUCUUCAACCCCUUCACCUCUGCUACCACCACUACCCCAGCUACCACCACUGCCACCACCACCACCGCGGCAACCACUACCGCCCGCCAAUUUCCAUACAUCCUACUAGAUGGCUUCCAAUCAUUCCUUAAUCCAUUCCUUCCAGCUACUAACUGUCCGAAUGGUAAUACUUGUGUUGCGGCCUUAACCUUCGCUACUCCCUAGCCUUGAAACACCCCCCUAGCCUUGAAACACUCCCCCUAGCCUUGAAAGAUUCCCUGUCUGUAAUCAGGUGACUUAGGAUCCUGAACCAUCUUGAAAGCCAGGUCACCUAGACACCUAGAUCACUCUCGGAUUUAGGUCACCUAGUACCUGCGUCACCUAGAAACUUGGAUCAAACCCUCAGAGCUACUCAACAGAAAGGUACAUGAUUCCUGUAUCCGACAACCACUCUAACCUCCACAAGUACAGCCUCACUGAUGCUGUAACCUCCACAAGUACAGCCUUACUGAUGCUGUAAUCUCCACAAGUACAGCCUUACUGAUGCUGUAACCUCCACAAGUACGGCCUUACUGAUGCUGUAACCUCCACAAGCACAGCCUUACUGAUGCUGUAACCUCCACAAGUACAGCCUUACUGAUGCUGUAACCUCAACAAGUACGGCCUUACUGAUGCUGUAACCUCAACAAGUACAGCCUUACUGAUGCUGUAACCUCCACAAGUACGGCCUUACUGAUGCUGUAAUCUCCACAAGUACGCCUCACUGAUGCUGUAACCUCCACAAGUACAGCCUUACUGAUGCUGUAACCUCCACAAGUACAGCCUUACUGAUGCUGUAACCUCCACAAGUACAGCCUUACUGAUGCUGUAACCUCCACAAGUACAGCCUUACUGAUGCUG